AAUCAUCUAAAAUUUUUGCAGCGCUGGGGUCAAACUCAUGGCCUCAUACAAACAUCACAACAUUUCUUUAGGUAGAUUCCCAGAGAUACUUAUUUGAUUGAAAUUGGUGUUAAUAGAAAGUUAUAAAAUAUGCUGUCAAAUUUCACAUUCAAAAAACGGAGUCAGUUUACCACUGAUGCAAUAUUGAUUAAAAGGAGCCAUUUGACUGUCUUAUUCUUAAAUUAUGUGGGUUUGUGUGUGCAAACCUGAUGGGGCAAAAUGAUUUUAUAAUUGUUUCAUAAAGUUCAUUUUAUUAGUAAGAAUGAAAUUUAACCUUAUCUUGCCACAUAUUCUUAUUUAUUUCUGUAUUUAAUUGUCAUUUUUCUAUUUGGAGUUUUUAUAUACAUAUGCUGCAAUGAAACUAUCCUCUGUUGAUUAUUUCUUUGCUCAUAGGAGUGCAUCUUUCAUAUGUUGGCAGUUUUCUUUUUUGGGGGGUUGGGUAUCAGGAAUUGAAUUCAGGGGAACUUGGCCACUGAGCAACAUCCCCAGCCCUCUUUUGUAUUUGAUUUAGAGACAG
rnacentral:lncRNA from 1 species